rnacentral:pre_miRNA from 1 species
AAAGUACUCCCUCCAUCCCAAAAUUCUUGUCUUAAAUUUGUCUAGAUAUAAAUGUAUCUAGUCACGUUUUAGUAUUUAGAUACAUUCAUUUCUAUACAAACCUACGACAAGAAUUUUGAGACGGAGGGAGUACUUC